rnacentral:rRNA from 1 species
UACGGAGGGUGCAAGCGUUAUCCGGAUUCACUGGGUUUAAAGGGUGCGUAGGUGGGCAAGUAAGUCAGUGGUGAAAUCUCCGAGCUUAACUCGGAAACUGCCGUUGAUACUAUUUGUCUUGAAUAUUGUGGAGGUAAGCGGAAUAUGUCAUGUAGCGGUGAAAUGCUUAGAUAUGACAUAGAACACCAAUUGCGAAGGCAGCUUACUACACAACGAUUGACGCUGAGGCACGAAAGCGUGGGGAUCAAACAGG